CUUAAAUUGGAAGUCAGUUUCACUGCAUUUAAUUUGAUUUUCUCUUGCCAAAGAGACCAUACUUUCACGAUGUUUCUCUUUUCUCCUAGUGUGAAGAUCACUUGUCUUCUGUCUCAAAUCUCCCUGCGGGUUGAACACUGUCUUCAUCCUAUUGGAUACCUACACCGUUACCUACUCAUCGUUCUAAUGGUUCUACGUUUACAUGGUUGACUCUACGGCUGUUCGGCUACAUCAAGAAAGAGGAAUUGGGAGGAGCCUGAUGGCAGUUUAUAUUAC